UACGGAGGGUGCGAGCGUUAAUCGGAUUUACUGGGCGUAAAGCGCGCGUAGGCGGUUUGGUAAGUCAGAUGUGAAAUCCCCGGGCUCAACCUGGGAACGGCAUUUGAUACUGUCAGACUCGAGUGUGGUAGAGGGAAGUGGAAUUCCGCAUGUAGCGGUGAAAUGCGUAGAUAUGCGGAGGAACACCAGUGGCGAAAGCGGCUUCCUGGACCAACACUGACGCUGAGGUGCGAAAGCGUGGGGAGCAAACAGG
rnacentral:rRNA from 1 species